rnacentral:rRNA from 1 species
CCCUUAGACGUUCUGGGCCGCACGCGCGCUACACUGACCAGUGCAACAAGCAUCCGUCCUUGGCCGACAGGCUCGGGCAAUCUUUGAACGCUGGUCGUGAUGGGGAUAGACCUUUGCAAUUAUGGGUCUUCAACGAGGAAUUCCUAGUAAACGCAAGUCAUCAGCUUGCAUUGAUUACGUCCCUGCCCUUUGUACACACCGCCCGUCGCACCUACCGAUUGAAUGGUCCGGUGAAAUCUCGGGACGGCGGCUUGGUCGCUUGCGUCCGACUGCUGAAACUUGAUUAAACCAUAUCAUUUAGAGGAAGGUGAAGUCGUAACA